AGCUCUCACUUUUUCACUUCCCCAAUCAAACUGCAUAUCAGAAUCAGGCUGAUCAGUGCAAUUGGAGUGUGGCGGAGGAGAUGAAGUACAAAUAAUGGAGCCGACGUCAUCCUCAGUCUCAUCACUGAGAGAUAUGGAAGGUCACGAACACUUGGGCCUUGAGUUCAUUCCUCUCCUGCAGGACGUCCCGCAGCUCCUGCAGAGUGAAGCGAGGUUUGUCUGAAUCCUGCUCGAGACAAUCUGUCUC